rnacentral:rRNA from 1 species
AUGCAAGUCGAGCGGGGACAUACGACGGAGUCAAAGUUUUCGGAUGGAGACGAAGAUGUAUGUUCUAGCGGCGGACGGGUGAGUAACGCGUGAGCAACCUGUCCCUUACAGGGGGAUAACACAGCGAAAGUUGUACUAAUACCGCAUGAGACCACGGGAGGACAUCCUCCAGGGGUCAAAGGAGCAAUCCGGUAAGGGGUGGGCUCGCGUCCGAUUAGAUAGUUGGUGAGGUAACGGCCCACCAAGUCGACGAUCGGUAGCCGACCUGAGAGGGUGAUCGGCCACAUUGGGACUGAGACACGGCCCAAACUCCUACGGGAGGCAGCAGUGGGGAAUAUUGGGCAAAAUGGGGGAAACCCUGACCCAGCAACGCCGCGUGAGGGAAGAAGGUUUUCGGAUCGUAAACCUCUGUCCUUGGUGAAGAGGAAGAGACGGUAGCCAAGGAGGAAGCCCCGGCUAACUACGUGCCAGCCGCCGC